rfam:Schistosoma margrebowiei strain Zambia genome assembly, scaffold: SMRZ_contig0000495
AUCCAGCUAACGAGUCCCAAAUAGGACGAAACGAAUGUCCUGGAU